GGGGAAUUUUGCGCAAUGGGGGAAACCCUGACGCAGCAACGCCGCGUGAGUGAUGAAGGCCUUCGGGUCGUAAAGCUCUGUCAGAGGGGAAGAAAUGCAGGGGUGCUAAUAUCAUCUUUGCUUGACGGUACCCUCAAAAGAAGCACCGGCUAACUCCGUGCCAGCAGCCGCGGUAAUACGGAGGGUGCGAGCGUUGUUCGGAAUUAUUGGGCGUAAAGCGCGUGUAGGCGGUUUGAUAAGUCUGAUGUGAAAGCCCCGGGCUCAACCUGGGAAGUGCAUUGGAAACUGUCAGACUUGAAUACGGGAGAGGGUAGUGGAAUUCCUAGUGUAGGAGUGAAAUCCGUAGAUAUUAGGAGGAACACCGGUGGCGAAGGCGGCUACCUGGACCGAUAUUGACGCUGAGACGCGAGAGCGUGGGGAGCAAACA
rnacentral:rRNA from 1 species